UACGUAGGGUGCAGGCGUUAAUCGGAAUUACUGGGCGUAAAGAGUGCGUAGGCGGUUUUCUAAGUUUGGUGUGAAAUCUCCCGGCUCAACUGGGAGGGUGCGCCGAAGACUGGAAGGCUUGAGUAUGGGAGAGGUAAGCGGAAUUCCUGGUGUAGCGGUGAAAUGCGUAGAUAUCAGGAGGAACACCUGCGGUGUAGACGGCUUACUGGACCAUAACUGACGCUGAGGCACGAAAGCGUGGGUAGCAAACAGG
rnacentral:rRNA from 1 species